CGAAGGAUCCAAGCGUUAUCCGGAUUUAUUGGGUUUAAAGGGUGCGUAGGCGGCUUAUUAAGUCAGUGGUGAAAGCCUGCAGCUUAACUGCAGAACUGCCAUUGAUACUGAUGAGCUUGAGUAUAGUUGAGGUGGGCGGAAUGUGUCAUGUAGCGGUGAAAUGCUUAGAUAUGACACAGAACACCGAUUGCGAAGGCAGCUCGCUAAACUAUAACUGACGCUGAGGCACGAAAGCGUGGGGAGCGAACAGGAUUAGAUACCCUGGUAGUCCACGCCCUAAACGUUGAUAACUCGAUGUGUGCGAUAUACAGUACGCGUCUAAGCGAAAGCAUUAAGUUAUCCACCUGGGAAGUACGGUCGCAAGAUUAG
rnacentral:rRNA from 1 species